AAAAGCAUCCAAAAUAGUCCAAUAAAACAGGUGUCAUAUCUCUUAAGAUAUAUUAUUCCAUGAUUAUGAAAUAUCCAAAUGAUUUUGAAGAACAUGUAGCUCAGAGCUACAAUAUGUCUACAUUUGGAUUGAGGGCUACCCCUAGAGUGAGAAUCAUAUUUUCAAAACAAGUUCAUCAAAUUGCUUGAAAUUUGGUCAAGCUGUUUCUGAAACAAUUUUCUUCAAAUAAUAUUAUUAGCAAAAUUUUUUUGACCAAUUGUGUGUAGAGUAAAUCUUGCUUUAUUAAGAAACCCUAAUUAGCACUUUUCAGUUGUUGUGCUUCAAGACAUGUCAUUUAAAAGUCAUUUAAAGUAUAUUUACAUGGUUGGUUUGAAGCAGGUACCAUCAGUGGUUACAAAAAUGAUAUUAGCCACAUAUUUUGUUCAAUAGUUAUGCCAGUAAUUGACAUUGAAAAAUAUUUGCAUCAAAAGUUUAGGUCUAACUUGGCGGGAAAGGUUUGAUGAUCACAAAAAAGUGGCGUUUCCUUGCUUUAGUGUCCUUGCCCUGAAUCAUAAACACAGAGUUUAAAACGUCUACCGAAGAUGAAUGCACUGAUUGGAUUGCAGAAUUAAACUCUGCGGCCCAAAAACAACGUUGAUCCAGUACACGAUUAUCAAACUCAUGAGACUCGACAAGAUGGGAAUUUUUCACAAGCAUCUAGCACAAGAUUCCGUGAAAUGAAUUUAUCGGGACGACAAAAAACAAAGUGGAUUGAGCUGUUCUUCUAAUCGAUCCCUCGCGACAUUAGGCGAAGUUUCCACAGGAAUUCUGUACCCUCUCAAGGCUCGACAAAAACUUAUUGCGAGUUCGACCCUCUCCCCUACAAAUCAAGAGACAGAAACAGCAUCGCUUUGAAUGACACCAACACAGUCUCAACGUCGCAUUUUAGUGCAACAUUUUCAACAGAAUUGGAAGAUGCAAUUCGACAAAAAACCUCUGGUUCCAGCAAAAAAACCCAACAUAAGGAUUCAAAAGGCCAUGUAAUGUGUGAUUCAGAAUCUGAGAACCACCCAUUCCUUCUGUUUUGUAAUAUUUAUUUGAAGGACAACUCGUAAUCCAUGUGCUAUUAUGCUUUAUCAUACUGUUUUUGUCCAUCACUUUAUUGAAUUGAUUUAAAAUGUUAUAAUUCGGGGUGCUUUUCUGGAAAUAAAAGAACUCCUUCCAAAGCAAGGUGAAUUUGCUAUUGCUACAAAUGUAUUGGCGAAUUACUCAAAAAUGGUAAUUCAUUAGCAACUAGCAAAAACAAUCCAGAAAAUGGAAGGACCAAAAAAAAUUGCGAGCACGGUUUUGCUAAUCCAACACAGCCUUCUUGAUUCAUGCACUUUUGAGACACUGUAUUGGACAUGCUCUCUCAAGUAUGAUUAGGAAUUGGGUUGGUUAUGGUGCGUCUACACAAACAAAAUAAAUCUACCAAAACCUGUGGCACGGAAGUUAUGGUGCGUCUACACGACAAAUAAUUGGGCAAAUAAUUAGCCAUUUGACAAACAUUGUUUGGCAUUUCACAAGCAUUUCACAAACAUUUCUCGAUUUGAACAUGUUUAAAGUUUGUUUCCAAAGAGCAAAUAUUUCGUGGACGACAGCAUCCUCCCCAACCCUUCCAACCAAGGAAUCCAUUUUCAGCCACUACAGAACUUAACUCAUUCGAUCCACGAUGGUUUAUAACAAAGAAAACUGUAUUGAUUGUGAUUCAUUUUUGUUGGGAUUUGCACUUUAUGCUCUUUACUCGCAUCUAGUCAUCACUCUAGUCAAUUAUAAAAACCAUGCGUUUGUCGAAUAAAAUAACAGUUCUCCAACUCUCUCUGUCACACCAACUUGCCCUCCUGGCUAGCUCAAUUUCUAAUAGGUUAUGGGCCCAGCACCGCCAGCACUGCAAUUGUAAUGUGAAAAGUGUUUGGCGAGUUGAGUCUAGGAGGGUGGGCAGCAAUGCCCAUGGAAAAGAGAGUUACUUGGGUGCCGAAAGGGAUCGGCGGUUAGUGGUGGGCCUAGUGUGCCCGGUUCGUGGUGGGCCUGUUGUGCCCGGUUCGUGCUGGGCCUAGUGUGCCCGGUUCGUGGUUGGCCUUAUGCCCGGUUCAUGGAGGGGUUGUGUUUCCCCUGGAACCGAAUGGAGGGGCUGCUGUUUCCCCUGGAACCCGAAUGGAGGGGCUGUGUUUCCCCUGGAACCCGAAUGGAGGGGCAGAGUUUCCUCUGGAACCUGGAUGGUGGGCCAUGAGAGCCCUGGAGCCUGGAUGGUUGGCCAUGAGAGCCCUGGAGCCUGGAUGGUGGGCCAUGAGAGCCCUGGAGCCUGGAUGGUGGGCCAUGAGAGCCCUGGAGACUGGAUGGUGGGCCAUGAGAGAGAGCCCUGGAGACUGGAUGGUGGGCCAUGUGCCUCUGCAUGCUAUUGACUGUGAUAUUCCCUAUCAUAAAGUGAGGGGAAGUGUUGGGAUUUGCACUUUAUGCUCUUACUCGCAUCUAGUCAUCACUCUAGUCAAUUAUAAAAACCAUGCGUUUGUCGAAUAAAAUAACAGUUCUCCAAAUCUCUCUGUCAUACCAACUUGCCCUCCUAGUUAGCUCAAUUUCUAACAAUUUUGACACAGGAUAACCCCAACUUAGAGUAUGAAGGGGCCUGGAAUUGUUAAUCAAUGUUCAAAGUCAUCAGAUGUCAUCCCAUCCCCUCU